AGCUCCGACGGGCUUUCGGUUGACCCCGGCUCUGCGCCGCGCCCGCGUCCGUUAGGAGCCUCCCCAGCCCGCGCCGCAGCCGCCCACCUCAGUCCGCCUCCCUUGCGGCUCGCAGCAAGAAGGGCAGCCGGGCCAGGGCCGGGGAUCCUGGAUCCCACGGCCGACGGUCGCCCGGCAUCCCGGCGCCUGCCCCGGCGCUGGAAGAGAAAGUGAAAUGAAGCGCCUUUCCCCAGGCAGCACCUACCAGGUCCCCAGUCCCGUGCAGCUGCCUCGCUCCUCCAGCGCCGCCGGUCCCCGCCCUCGGGCCCCAGGCUUCGUUCUCUUUGACAAUGGCGCGUCCCCUUUAAGGAAUAAUCCGAUCGGGACCGAUCCGUGGUUAAACCUCCCUCCGACUCUGAUUUUAACCGGAUUUCUGUCUCUCCCAGAGCCCGACGGGCGCCCGGCGGUGCUGCGAGCUCUGCCCACCCCUUCCCUGCCCCGCCCACCCCCUCGCCUUCCUGAUUGGCGAGGGACACUACACCAGGAACAGUGGUCCUCGCCCUCCACUGGCCGGCCCCCCCGCCGCUCAGAGUUUCCCCUCCUUCGCCCCGCCCCCCUUCCCCGGGUUGGACCUACCUCUAAUCACUCUCUGUCCUCGCCUCCAACGUUGCUUUGGAGAACUGGCAGUCAAGGCUCAUCCUCCCGCCUCCGGAAAGCGAACUUUAUUUUUAUUGGUAGAAAGACAUCUUCCUGUGUACCUGAUUGGGCAAGGAAGGGCAAGUCUGCACGCCCCUUACCUAUUAUCGCUCUGCCUGGACGGCGGAGAGAAAGACAGCCGUAAAGUCUUCUCUACCUUGGCUUCCUCUAAGCGCCUUUCCCUUUUAAAUGUUGGUAGGGGUCGAGCACAAACAGCCCAUACGGCGGGAAGCGGGAAAGGGAGACGGGAAGAAUGCAAAAAUCUCCAGAUGAGGAGCACAUCGCACUAGCUGUGGGAUCCUGAGAACUCAAUCCUGCUGUCUCCUGGAUGGAGUGAGAACACCUGAAAAAUCCUAGUACUGGCUCCAGACAAUUAACCAAGUUCGCACUCCCUGUUCACUCUGCUCAGAUCCUUGAAUCUCCGGCUUUGAGCACCCGGAAGAGUUUAUGAAGGUGUCUGCAAACCUUGAGGUUUCCUCGUUUGUCUUGCAAUCGGACAUUCAGAAAAGCGUUUAAGUCCUUCCCAAUAGAAGUUCCGUUUAGGUCACGUCCUGUGUGUCCUACUGGCGUUUGCGCGGGAGCUACGUUAAUUUUUGGAAAGAUUAAACUGAUGGUCCUCUCUGGUGAUAUUCUCAGAGUCCCUCUUGCUACAAAUGCGGACACCAGAAGGCUACUGCUUGAAGGACAGAGGCACCUUCAGGGAAAAGCACGUCUACCCAAAAGAAGAGGGAGAAGUCUGUUAUGAAAAGACGUCCUUGUGGCACACCCCUGCUCCCUGCGACCGCCUCGGAGUCUGCGUUAGCCUAGCACCAGCUUCCCACCCCAGAUGCAAGAAGCAAAGGAUUAUUUCCGGAAAAACUGAGUGUGGUUAUGACUUUGGGCCCCGCCCGGAAACGUUGAGGAACGGUUCAGUGUUCUCUCGCUCUUUGCGAUGGUCUUUGAGAUACUCUGGAAGUCAGGGCGUCCGUACAGGUGCCGCGAUCCCCCCCCCCCCCCAGUGGGAUCCUGCAGUGCCGAGAAAGUGGCUGUGCUCCGCGGCACCCUAGAAGCCAGUCUGUCCCGCACAGAAAGAGGGAAAAGAGCGUAGACUGUUGACAGAAAAGGCUUUUUCCCCCCGAGCUCAGGAGGGAGAGCCAUUCAUAGCAAGAAGCGAGGGAAUUACAUUCUAAAGAAAGCCACUGUGUGAUAUGUUAAUAGAAAGAAGAAAUAAACCACAGACUCCUUAUUAGCUUUCUCGCUGAAUAUCUGAGAUGGAAAACUGACAUAAUAUUUAACUUGGAGAGGCAAGCAGUAUCAUAGAAAGGCCACCCAAACCCAGUCCAGCCCCUUUUGUCUACCCUGCCGUGAAAGUACCACUGAACCCAGGACCCCAACGCACACGCCGUCGGCGGGACUGAGGACUGAACUUCCAAUCUCACGUAUUCAUGCCACCGGCUCGCAUUCCCGGACCACUCAACCACACUUUUGGUUUCCUGAUGAGUUGGUCUUGAACUUGCUGCCCUCCUCCCUUCAACCCC